AGUUACGAACCUAAAAUUUGGUACAAAACUAAAACCUUCUUACGCUCCAAAAAGCGUCUCGAAUUUGACACACUUCGGAAUUGACAUAUCUGACAGUUCAAAAAUGCACUAAAACCAAAAAAGAAAUGUAACGCUACAAUAAAACCCCAAAACCAUUUCCUGACAAUGUCAAUAAUGUCGAAAUAUGCCAGAUUUCCUUAACAGACAUUGGAAGAGAAGUAACAAAGUGGUGACACGUAAAAGACAGUUGAGGAAAUGUUUGCAGCUACGGUCGCCUUGCAGGCAAGAGGAGUGGUCCCCGAUCGAAAUCCAGUUCUGUAACAUCGUGGCUUGGACUGGGGCAAUAGUGAUCACCGUAGUGAUCCUGAGGUCCUUAUAUUUGCUUUACAUGAAGCCGGAAGGUACAUGAACAGAAUCCAGAAUAAAAAACAUGUUUAAAUUUCGAAAACUCAACACAAAGCUUCUAAAUGUUUAAUCAAAAAAAAAAGGGUAAACUUUCUCGUUUGAAACGAUCGAUGUACAUGAAAAAUUCAAGAUACCGUCUCGACUCUUAUCAAGUGGAAUUAAGGUACAUAUUGGUAUGGUCCGUGUUAUUAUUCGUAGCCCUUCUGGGUCUAAGGGCUUUGUAUCUGAAAUACAAUGUUGAGGACAACGAGAAUAGGUUUCCUGUAUGCUUGCACGAGUUUAGUUGAAUAAACAAUUUAAAGAUU